rnacentral:rRNA from 2 species
CACCUCUAGCAUUACUAGUAUUAGAGGCAAUGCCUGCCCAGUGACACCAGUUUAACGGCCGCGGUAUUCUGACCGUGCAAAGGUAGCAUAAUCACUUGUUCUCCAAAUAAGGACUUGUAUGAAUGGCCACACGAGGGUUUUACUGUCUCUUACUUCCAAUCAGUGAAAUUGACCUUCCCGUGAAGAGGCGGGAAUAAAAAAAUAAGACGAGAAGACCCUAUGGAGCUUUAAUUAACUAUUCCAAAAGUUAAACAAUUCAACCACAAAGGGAUAAAACAUAACUUAACAUGGACUAGCAAUUUCGGUUGGGGUGACCUCGGAGUACAAAAAACCCUCCGAGUGAUUUUAAUCUAGACAAACCAGUCAAAAUAACCAUAACAUCACUUAUUGAUCCAAAAUUUUGAUCAACGGAACAAGUUACCCUAGGGAUAACAGCGCAAUCCUAUUCUAGAGUUCCUAUCGACAAUAGGGUUUACGACCUCGAUGUUGGAUCAGGACACCCAAAUGGUGCAACCGCUAUUAAAGGUUCGUUUGUUCAACGAUUAAAGUCCUA